AACGAACGCUGGCGGCGUGGAUAAGACAUGCAAGUCGAACGGGAUAUCCAGUGUAGCAAUAUAUUGGAUGUUCAGUGGCGCAAGGGUGCGUAACACGUGGGUAAUUUGCCUUGGAGUUGGGGAUAAUCCCGAGAAAUCGGGACUAAUACCGGAUGUGGAUACCGAGGGGCAUCUUUUGGUAUCUGAAGGUGGGGACCGCAAGGCCUGCCGCUCCAUGAUAAGCCCGCGGCCUAUCAGCUAGUUGGUGAGGUAACGGCUCACCAAGGCUAAGACGGGUAGCUGGUCUGAGAGGACGACCAGCCACACUGGAACUGAGACACGGUCCAGACACCUACGGGUGGCAGCAGUCGAGAAUUUUUCUCAAUGGGCGAAAGCCUGAAGGAGCGACGCCGCGUGGGGGAUGAAGGGUUUCGAUCCGUAAACCCCUGUCAUUUGCGAACAAUGGUUAUCAUUUAAAAGAUGAUGACUUGAUAGUAGCGGAAGAGGAAGGGACGGCUAACUCUGUGCC
rnacentral:rRNA from 1 species